GCCAGCUGCGCAUGUGAAGCUCGCGAGCUCGGCGACCCGUCUCUUUUGGAUGUAGCUCGUUUGUCGGGCUCCUGGCGUUCUCUUGUGUUCCGUGCGCAUUUCGACACGGCACCACUGCACUACUGGACGACAGCAAGAUUUUAUGGCAUCGUUUGGGAGGAGUCUAUUUGCUACGAAAUCUGAUGGCAUCCGUGGAGCUUCGUACGGCAACGACUGCUGCUUACCUGGUACCGCAACUUUGGAUGAAUGCACAAGAAGGCCGGAACGAGC